rnacentral:rRNA from 1 species
GAUGAACGCUGGCGGCGUGCCUAAUACAUGCAAGUCGAGCGAAUGGAUUAAGAGCUUGCUCUUAUGAAGUUAGCGGCGGACGGGUGAGUAACACGUGGGUAACCUGCCCAUAAGACUGGGAUAACUCCGGGAAACCGGGGCUAAUACCGGAUAAUAUUUUGAACUGCAUGGUUCAAAAUUGAAAGGCGGCUUCGGCUGUCACUUAUGGAUGGACCCGCGUCGCAUUAGCUAGUUGGUGAGGUAACGGCUCACCAAGGCAACGAUGCGUAGCCGACCUGGGAGGGGGAUCGGCCAAACUGGGACUGAGACACGGCCCAGACUCCUACGGGAGGCAGCAGUAGGGAAUCUUCCGAAAUGGACGAAAGUCUGACGGAGCAACGCCGCGUGAGUGAUGAAGGCUUUCGGGUCGUAAAACUCUGUUGUUAGGGAAGAACAAGUGCUAGUUGAAUAAGCUGGCACCUUGACGGUACCUAACCAGAAAGCCACGGCUAACUACGUGCCAGCAGCCGCAGUAA